ACAGCAAGCAGAAAGAGUUAUCAGCAGCACAACGAUCUAGAAAACCACGUCAUACCAUUAUAGGUGGUCUCAGAACUCAUGUCAAAAAUUUCAAAUUUGGGUCAAAUAUAACAAUUAGGGUGGGCAUUCAUCUUUCUUGUGCUCCUAUUCUCCUAUGAUUAAAGAGAGCAAGUUACUUAGAGUUCUUCUAUCCAUGCUGAAUUUUAUGCAGUCAUGAGAGCUACUGAUAUUGCUAAAGAUAAAGGGUGGAGUAAGCUAGAGACAGAUUCUCUCUUGGUAGCACAAGUAUUUUUCACGCAGACUUUGGUGCCUUGGCAGCUAAGCAAUGAUUGGGAAUCUUACGUAUAUGAACUUUUAUAUCGCACGUAUAUAGAGAAGAGAAUAGUUUGCUGAGAUUUUUGCUAAUAUAGGUUUCUCAACAACUUCCCUCACCUUUUUUAUUCCAUUCUUAUAGAGAUAAAGAAUGAUUUUAUGAAAAAUAAACAUGAUUUGUCUUUUUUUU